UACGUAGGGGGCUAGAGUUGUCCGGAAUCAUUGGGCGUAAAGAGCGCGUAGGCGGCCAGAUAAGUCCGGUGUGAAAGUCAAAGGCUCAACCUUUGAAUGCCGCUGGAAACUGUCUGGCUAGAGUCCGGGAGGGGCGAGUGGAAUUCCUGGUGUAGCGGUGAAAUGCGCAGAUAUCAGGAGGAACACCAAUGGCGAAGGCAGCUCGCUGGAACGGUACUGACGCUGAGGCGCGAAAGCGUGGGGAGCGAACAGG
rnacentral:rRNA from 1 species